rnacentral:rRNA from 1 species
GACGAACGCUGGCGGCGUGCCUAAUACAUGCAAGUCGAACGCAUUUUCUUUCACCGUAGCUUGCUACACCGAAAGAAAAUGAGUGGCGAACGGGUGAGUAACACGUGGGUAACCUGCCCAUCAGCGGGGGAUAACACUUGGAAACAGGUGCUAAUACCGCAUAAUUCCAUUUACCGCAUGGUAAAUGGAUGAAAGGCGCUUUUGCGUCACUGAUGGAUGGACCCGCGGUGCAUUAGCUAGUUGGUGGGGUAACGGCCUACCAAGGCUGCGAUGCAUAGCCGACCUGAGAGGGUGAUCGGCCACACCGGGACUGAGACACGGCCCAGACUCCUACGGGAGGCAGCAGUAGGGAAUCUUCGGCAAUGGACGCAAGUCUGACCGAGCAACGCCGCGUGAGUGAAGAAGGUUUUCGGAUCGUAAAACUCUGUUGUUAGAGAAGAACAAGGAUGAGAGUGGAAAGUUCAUCCCUUGACGGUAUCUAACCAGAAAGCCACGGCUAACUACGU